rnacentral:tRNA from 1 species
UGGAUAGCUCAGACGGUUAGAGCAGCAGAUUCUUAAUCUGUCGGUCGCGGGUUCGACUCCCGCUCCAACCA